rnacentral:rRNA from 1 species
UACGUAGGGGCUAGCGUUAUCCGGAAUUACUGGGCGUAAAGGGUGCGUAGGUGGUUUCUUAAGUCAGAGGUGAAAGGCUACGGCUCAACCGUAGUAAGCCUUUGAAACUGGGAAACUUGAGUGCAGGAGAGGAGAGUGGAAUUCCUAGUGUAGCGGUGAAAUGCGUAGAUAUUAGGAGGAACACCAGUUGCGAAGGAGGCUCUCUGGACUGUAACUGACACUGAGGCACGAAAGCGUGGGGAGCAAACAGGAUUAGAUACCCGCGUAGUCCCUGAGCGGG